GAGAGCCACACACCCUCCUCUCCAAGAUCCAGCCGCCCAACCCUCUCUUAAGCCGCCGCCGCCGGUGGUGCUCCAAACACCACCCAACUUACGCCAAUCUCUUUCUCUCUUCACCCUCUCGCCGAUUCCAAGCCUCGAAUCCUCGAAAACCCCUUCUAACUCUCAGCCGCCCCACUCCAUCUUCACCCCAUUCAACCACUUUAAAAUCUUAUCUCCUUCACUGUACCACCACUUAGCUCCACUAUUACAAUCAAGAAUUGAAAGCAUCUUUUACACAUUUUGACAAGCACCUAGCAGUCAUGUAAAAGCCUUGGCCGCCGAACUCCACUCCUCUUUCCACUUUCACCUUCUACACAAAGAACGUCCCUCCCCUCCAUUAUUCUGCUAUAUGAGCUUCUAUAUUCCAACUCUAGAUAUUACCAUUGCAGUAUUACUAAGGAUUUGAGAUGAUAAUCAUAGAUAAGAUUUUCAAAAUUGCACCGCCACAGUUAAGGUUGUUCGAGUUGCGCUCGAUUCUAGUUAAAAAGCAAGGUCGUCGUUCAAGCUUUACAACGAAGUUUCCGUUCUUGGCUCGACAGUUCCGGUCCCAUGUGAUUUCAGUCGAGGAUUUCCGGUCAAGUUCUGGCCUCGGUUCCUAUUCACGCACUGCUACUGUAAUCAGAUGACUCAUUUUGAGGUCCAUUUCUUACUUUCUCUCGUUGGUUGCUAUCUAUUUGUGUGGGUAUGUGAUUUUGUUUAAAUGAUUUGAUAUUUUUUAUUAAUUUAUAUUUGUUUGGACUUCAAUUGAAAAGCAUGUUUAAAUGAGUGUAUGUGAAAUUUGUACCCAACUUCUGAUUCUCCUCUGGUGGUGUUCGAAUUACUUGAGCAAAUAGUAAAAUUAGGAGAUUAAGAAUCGGGAAAGAAGUAAGGUUCGAUAAUUCGGAUUGGGUUACUAAAAUAAUUAGAUAGUAGUUUUUUUGUGAUUUAAAAAGCAAAAAAAAAUAGUUUUGGACUUUGCAAGGCAAAUUGGUAGUAGCUGAGAACUAAAAUUAUAACGAUUUGAGUGUAGGAUGAUUUUUUUUUUGUUUUUUUUGUGAAUUUUUUAUUUUGCUUUAUUAGUUUAACCGCUAGGAACAUGUUUAGGCCGUUAAUGUUCGGAUAGGCAAACUUUAGUAUUUUGUUUGUUUUAAUUUCGAGGCGAGAGGUCGUUCCCUUUAGUUUAUAUUUAGGGGAAUGGCCCGUAGACUCUGUAAAUAUUUUUAUCAGGAGAAUGCCCCGAAGUAUUAUGUAGUUAGAGGCCAAAGACGGGACGAUGCGAAGAAGCGUAGAAUAGAAUUAUAGUAUUUUUAUUUUAUUUCUUCUUUUAUUUUUAUUUUUUUAGGUGGGGACAACCUCGAGCCUCUUGUGUGUUUAUGUUUCUUUCUUUCGUGUGUUUUUUGCCUCAGUUUGAGUUUUCUUAAAAGCCAACUUGAUCAUGUAUGCAACCGUGACCUUCACGGGACUUGGGGAAUGCCUAGCACCUUCUCCCCGAGUCAAAUGAACCCCUUUACCUUGAAUCUCUGGUGCAGUCAUUUUUAGGGUCAAACGUGUUUUGAAAGAAAAAUUAUUUUUAAACGGUGACCUGACACACCGAAACCAAAUGUCAGGUGGCGACUCUGAAAAAUCUUUCGAAACACAAUCUUUUGUCACUCUUCAAAUUGAAACCCUUUUGAGCUUUACAAAUCUUUUAUUUAUUUUAAAGAGGGUUAGUGAGGUGAAAAAAGGGGUGUGACAGCUUUGGCGACUCUGUUGGGGAUUUGCAGGUUCGAGCUGAUACUGUGAUCUUGUUGGCUUUUUAGAAUACUCAAUUGAGGCAUUUUUGUGUUUUUGUUUCUUGUGUGUUUUUACACUUUGUUGCUUAGUUGCUAAUUGUUUAUGUGUUUACCAUUUUCCUUUAUGUGUUACUGCUUUAUAAUUAUCAUCAUUUGCAUUACCCGGUCAAUUCUUUCUACAAUAAGUCUCGUAGUACGUGUGGCGUACACGAACUCUUUAUUGAGUCACCCUUAUUUUGGGGGGAAGGGGGGGUCGUCGGACGUAUGGAGUGGGUGAAAAGCUUGAGCAGCCACCAUCGACCAUACGUUCCCCCGAAUUGCCUUGUCUAGUGAACCUCAAACUUAGGUCAGCCUUUAGGUCAUUCUUAUUUGCAUCAUGUCAUUUAGACCUAGUAGGGCUCGGUCCCAGGCACCGUGUCCCUUUGUAGGAGGCCUAUCCAAAUUAUGUCAAAAUAGGCCCGCUGGCCCAAAAGGACAUUCAAUCAUUCUACGUGCUAAAUGUUGCAUCUUUGAGGGUAGAAAGGUCAUUUAGCAGACUGAUGUUUGGGAAAGAAUGGUGAAAAAAGAAGCAAGAGAGAAUAUUGAGGGUUUUGUCACUUUUAUAUUCUUGCUCCAUUUUCUAAAAUAAAAAAAAAAAGCAAAAAGAUUUUACACUUUCUUAUCAUUUUCAAAAAAGACAAAAAAUAUUUUUUUCAAAUUAAUUGCAUUUUUCAAAACUUUCUCCCAUAUCCAAUCCUCCCGAACUACACAUACCUGAUUUUCGUCUUUCGAGGUGGGAUAUGUAGGCAGCCCACAUAGAGUCCGGUCUUCCUAGUUAGUCUUAAGUUCUUGGCUUCGCGGGGUCUUAGCCAAAUAUUACAUGUCUAGCCACAUUAGGUCACAUCGGCCCUUUUUUGCAAAAUAGGGAUAUUUUCGCAAAAAGUGGUUUGUUAACCCAUGUCUUAGAGUUUUAAGUCUACCACAAGGUGUCCUCUCUGUCUAAGGUCCAUUCAUAUUUAAUUUGCAUGCUUAGCCAUUUUCGACCACAUAGGCCAUUUCUGCAAAGUGGGAUCAUUUUCACAAAGCAACUUUAGGGACCGCGAUUCCUGAGAGUUUAUGGGCCUUCGUGAGGUGUUUCCAUAUUUUAGAGGUCGUCCUAAUUGAGUUUUCACUUUUAGCCACCUUUUGGCCACGUAGGUCAGUUUGCAAAAAUAGCCUUAAUCAUGUCUUGCAUGUGUCCAACAGGAAGUGUUAUUGUCUCACAUAGUAUUCUAAGUCUUUAACUCUAUUUGGUCUUAUUUUUUUCAUAAAGGUAUAGAUCCAUUUGCCGGAGAUUGAGCAUGACAGACGCCCCAGGACCAUCCAGUCAGGACCACUGCAUUCAUGAGUUGCUUGAGGAUACUUUUAUGUUUUGAGUCUGUCAUUCAUGUUGCCUUUUAUUUUUAGUCUUGUACAGUAGUAUCGAAUCUUUUAGGUGGUGUCAGAGUCUGUCCUAGUCUAGUUGAGUUUGUCGAGUCUUUUGUUAUCGUAUUUCCUAUUUUGUAUGUGAAAACCAAAAAGAGUUAUAAAUGAAAAAUUCAAAAAGAUUUUAUUUUUAGUAUAUUUUGUCCAUUACUUUUCCAGAAAUACGCUUGGUCUGAUUCAUGUGGAACAUGAUACGUAGGCAAUCUACAUCGGGUUCGAUCGAAUCAUUUUAGAAAUUAAAAGAAAAAAAAAGAAAGAAAAAAAAGAAAAAAAGGGAUGUGAGAAGCGAGAAGCGAGAGAAAAGAAAAAGAGCGAUAAUCAGAAAGAAAAGAAAGGGAAGAAAUGAGCAAAUCCAGGAGCGUAAGAGAGGAAAUGAAGAAUAAAAGGGCAAUGAGAGUAAAAUUGGGAUGAUGCCAUAUGACCUUCGUACCCUCGGAGUCAUUUUAGAACCGAUAAAUGUGACUAGGUGCAUUGCACAUAAUGCGAGAUUAUCUUAUGUUAAAUGCCAUAACGCUAACGUGAUGACUUUAUUUUGUUCCUCUUUGUUAUCUUUAUUACAGCAGAAGGGUGGUUGGUUUGUGGUUCUUAAACUGGUAACUCUUUCCUACAACAUAAAGUCGAAAGGUAAUGGCAGACGAUAACAGAGUUGAGUUAGUCGAUAUUGGUACCCGAAAGCAGUUGGUUGAACAAGACAUUGGGUUGGUUGAAGAGGUAAGUAUGUUGAGACAACACAUGUCGACAUGUAUCAGGCUUGGAUGACUGGGAAGGCACCACCCCCGCCACCACCUGGCUUCCUAGAUGCUACCCUUACCCAAGCUCCGGUCAUAGUGUCAAAUCAUCCACCAUAUUCUCCGAAUUUUCCCGCUUAUCACAGCUUUUCUAACCUCCUUAGUAGCUCCAUCGUACGUCCUCCAACUACCUUUCCCAAAAAUAGCCCUCCUGAUGUUGUUGAGCCCCGCCAACGACAAGUCCCAGUGCGCGUUCAUGCUCAACACUUUCAGCCUCAACAUCGACCCCAUGAGUAUCUCCUACUCCAAAUAAUCCUCCCCGAUGCUACUUCUCUCCACAAAAUCCCCAAAGCCAUACCUCACCUUCCCACUACUUUAUCCAUAAUGCACCACCAUAUGCUUCAUAUCCACAAGACCCGCAAUGGCCUGCACCACCUCCACAAAUGUCUUACCCAGAUCUACAAGCAUAUAAACCACCUACCCUCAAGAGGUUCCAACCAAGGUCGGAGUACAAAAUAAAAAAGCAGCAACAAAAGGUUUCACUACUAUUGGAGAAUCAUAUGCCAGUUUGUUCCAAAGGUUGAGGCAAUUGGACAUGUUGAAGCCAAUUUAUAUAAAAAUGUCGAACCCCCUUCCAAAGAAUUUUGAUUAUUUUCAAAGGUGCGCAUAUUGCUCUAAUGCCCCCCGGGCACAGUAUAGAAAAGUGUUGGCAUCUGAAAAGAGCAGU
rnacentral:lncRNA from 1 species